UGGGGAAUUUUGGACAAUGGGGGAAACCCUGAUCCAGCCAUCCCGCGUGUGCGAUGAAGGCCUUCGGGUUGUAAAGCACUUUUGGCAGGAAAGAAACGUCAUGGGUUAAUACCCCGUGAAACUGACGGUACCUGCAGAAUAAGCACCGGCUAACUACGUGCCAGCAGCCGCGGUAAUACGUAGGGUGCAAGCGUUAAUCGGAAUUACUGGGCGUAAAGCGUGCGCAGGCGGUUCGGAAAGAAAGAUGUGAAAUCCCAGAGCUCAACUUUAGAACUGCAUUUUUAACUACCGGGCUAGAGUGUGUCAGAGGGAGGUGGAAUUCCGCGUGUAGCAGUGAAAUGCGUAGAUAUGCGGAGGAACACCGAUGGCGAAGGCAGCCUCCUGGGAUAACACUGACGAUCAUGCACGAAAGCGUGGGGAGCAAACAGG
rnacentral:rRNA from 1 species